CGGGCCCAGGGUUCUCCUACUGCGCGAAGCGGCAGGACAAUGGUCCUAACCCGAGGGCGAGGCGACGCGGAGACCGAAAGCACCCCGCUGCGGGUGGUGGUCGAGGAGGUGUCUGUCGCCCGCACUUGGCUAGGGAUCGGUAAAUACCAAGUGGCUGACUUACCGCUGCAGUCAGUGCAGCCAGUAGCUACCAGAAAAUUAGAAGUUACGUAUGUGGCUGCAUUAUAUUUCUGUCGGCGGUAGACGUAACCCGAGAGGUCAGGGACCGGCAUUUCAGAAGGGAGCGCAGUGCGGCUUUGGGGAGCCGCUUGACAGACGCGUGCCAGUUCUUCAUGAUAUUUUCUGAUUAAAGUUUUCCGUGCCUCCUCACUUAUGAUAA